rnacentral:rRNA from 1 species
GUGGGGAAUAUUGCACAAUGGAGGAAACUCUGAUGCAGCGACGCCGCGUGGAGGAAGAAGGUCUUCGGAUUGUAAACUCCUGUUGUCGGGGACGAUAAUGACGGUACCCGACAAGGAAGUGACGGCUAACUACGUGCCAGCAGCCGCGGUAAAACGUAGGUCACAAGCGUUGUCCGGAAUUACUGGGUGUAAAGGGAGAGCAGGCGGGGAGACAAGUUGGGAGUGAAAACUAUGGGCUCAACCCAUAAAUUGCUUUCAAAACUGUUUUUCUUGAGUAGUGCAGAGGUAGGCGGAAUUCCCGGUGUAGCGGUGGAAUGCGUAGAUAUCGGGAGGAACACCAGUGGCGAAGGCGGCCUACUGGGCACCAACUGACGCUGAGGCUCGAAAGUAUGGGUAGCAAACAGGAUUAGAUACCCUAGUAGUCC